rnacentral:rRNA from 1 species
UACGGAGGAUCCGAGCGUUAUCCGGAUUUAUCGGGUUUAAAGGGUGCGUAGGCGGCCUAUUAAGUCAGGGGUGAAAUACGGUGGCUCAACCAUCGCAGUGCCUUUGAUACUGAUGGGCUUGAAUCCAUUUGAAGUGGGCGGAAUAAGACAAGUAGCGGUGAAAUGCAUAGAUAUGUCUUAGAACUCCGAUUGCGAAGGCAGCUCACUAAGCUGGUAUUGACGCUGAUGCACGGAAGCGUGGGGAUCGAACAGGAUUAGAUACCCUGGUAGUCCACGCCCUAAACGAUGAUAACUCGAUGUUGGCGAUAGACAGCCAGCGUCCAAGCGAAAGCGUUAAGUUAUCCACCUGGGGAGUACGCCCGCAAGGGUGAA